GGGGGCCCCGCCGCCGGCGGCGGCCCGGCGGGAGGCCAGAGGGGAGAGCGCCGCCGGGGGAGGCCGAUAGGGCUGGAAGCGCCGGAGAGGCGGCAGCGGCGGGGCCGCAGAGAUGCUGGCAGGCUGGAAGCUUCACCAGCCCUCCCAUGCAGUAGAAUUCUGGAUUAGCUUCUCUGCUGUCAAUGAUUUCUGGAAGGAAAAAAGAAAGAACAGGAAGAAACAGCAAGAGGUUUUUCUGGAUUAUAUGGAGGACAAUAUUCUUCCAAGCUGAAACUAUUACACAGGACGCAUGCCUAUUCUCCCUGCAAUCAUCAUUUGAUUUACAUGUAAUGCUACCCAGCUCAACCUCUAUUGCCAAGGCAUAUUUGAAAGGAUGAUUGUUUAACUGUCUAGUCGGUGUAUUUUGCACAACGCAGACCAAUGCUGAUGUUCACCUCCAUGAAGAAAGUCAGAGGGUUGAACACAGGAUUUCACUAAUAACUGCAAUACCUUUCUUGAAGUGACACUGGAGCACAGUUUGGCUCUACUACUUAAAAGGUAAAAAUAAAAAAGCCAAGAGGAUUUCCUGCCAUUCCGCUGCCAUUUUGAACCAGCUCCCAGCAGAGAGCUUAUUAAAAUCACAAAGGAGGGAUGAUUUAAGAUGUAUCUGAACUUCUCCCCAGAUGAGACAUUCAGGAAAAUCUUUGUUUUGGGCUUGGUAAGGGAGCAAGAGUGCCAGAAUUCCCCUGGGGAAGAGAUCAGGAGAGAAAUGGGUAGUUUUCCAGCUAGUCACCAAACCCUCUAAUGAAACACAUGGUACCACUUCUAAAUCUCAAGAAUUCCCUUCCCAACUAGCUGCAAAGCUCUUCCAACAGUUCACAAUCCUCUUUGUCAAUUCCCCUUCCUUCCUCCUCCCAAAUUGCAUUUUAGCUUCCAACAGCAGGUUACCCUAAUAGAAGAAACAUAGCCCAUGAUGUACAGCACCAAGUGGGUUCUUUAGAAAAAUGAACUCUAUCUU